ACCGGUUGAUUCUGCCGGAGUCGUCUGGUUUGGGCGUUGUACUAAGUCAUGCAAGUCUACGCAUCUUCGGAUGCGUGGCGAAAAGCUCAGUAACGCGUAGAUAAUCUACCCUAAGGUGGGGGAUACCCUCGGCAAACUGAGGUUAAACCCCCAUAAAUACCCUAUGCUGGAAUGCUUGGGUAUUAAAAGUAUAUCGCCUUAGGACGAGUCUGCGUUCCAUUAGGUUGUUGGUGGGGUAAUGGCCCACCAAGCCGAGGAUGGAUAGGGGCCGUUAGCGCGGUAACCUCGAGUUGGAUUCUGAGACAAUAAUCCAGGGGCUAUGGCUUGCAGCAGGCGAGAAAACUGAACAAUGCACGAAAGUGUGAUUCGGCAACACCCAGUGCUAGGGGCAACUCUAGCUUUUCUGCACUUUAAAGAUGUGCAGGAAUAAGGAGAGGGCAAGAACGGUGCCAGCCGCCGCGGUAAAACCGUCUCUUCGACUGGACGACAUGUUUAUUGGGCCUAAAGCAUCCGUAGGCGGACCGGUCCGUCCCAGAUUAAAUACAGCGACUCAAUCGUUUGGACUGUCUGGGAAACUGCCGGUCUUGGCAAUGGGAGAGACAAGCCGUACGUACAGAGUAAAGGUGAAAUUUUAUAAUCCUGUGCGGACGACCGAUGGCGAAGGCAGCUUGUUGGAACAUGUGCGACGCUGAUGGAUGAAAGCCAGGGGAGCGAGCCGGAUUAGAUACCCGGGUAGUCCUGGCUGUAAACGAUGCGGGUUAAGUGUUAGAUCGUCUAGAGAUGAUCUAGUGCCGAAGCGAAGGCGUUAAACUCGCCGCCUGGGAAGUACGGACGCAAGUCUGAAACUUAAAGAAAUUGGCGGGAGAGCGCCACAACCGGUGGAGCCUGCGGCUUAAUUGGACAGCGCCGGAAAUCUCACCAGAGCCGACAGCAAUAUGAUAAUCAGGUUAAAGGCCUUAUUUAAUGCGCUGAAUGGAGGUGCAUGGCCGUCUACAGCUCGUGCCGUGAGGUGUCGUGUUAAGUCACGCAACGAGCGAGACCUUCGCUGUUAGUUGCUAGCAGACCCCGCGGGGUGCUGAGGACACUAACAGGACUGCCAGUGCUAAACUGGAGGAAGGCGAAGGCAACGGCAGGUCAGUAUGCCCCUAUAUGCUCUGGGCCGCACGCGGGCUACAAUGGUUCGAACAAUGGGCCCCAACACCGAAAGGUGACGGAAAUCCCGAAAUCGAACCGUAGUUGGGAUUGAGGGCUGCAACCCGCCCUCAUGAACUUGGAAUCGGUAGUAAUCGUGUUUCAUUAUAACGCGGUGAAUACGUCCCCUCUCUUUGCACACACCGCCCGUCGCAGCACGCGAGUGAUUGAUGGGUGAGGCGAUUUCUCUGUGAGAUUGUCGAAUCUGGCUUUCAUGAGUGGGCUGAAGUCGUAACAAGGUA
rnacentral:rRNA from 1 species